CAAUAGCGUAUAUUGAAGUUGUUGCGGUUAAAAAAGCUCGUCGUUGGAUUUCUGUUGAGGUCGAACAGUGCCGCCCUAUGGGUGCGCAACUGGCUCGGCUUCGGCAUCUUCUUGGAGAGCGCAUCUGCACUUAACUGUGUGGAUCGUACUUCAAGUCAGUUACUUUGAGGAAUUGUGAGUGUUUCAAGCAGGCUUACGCCGUUGAAUCCGUUAGCAUGGAAUAAUAGAAUAGGACCUCGGUUCUAUUUUGUUGGUUUUGAGAGCUGGGGGCAGCGAUUGAUAGGGACGGAUGGGGCGUCCGAACUUUACUGUCAGAGGUGAAAUUCUUAGAUUGCGUUACGACGAACUACUGCGAAAGCAUUUGCCAAGGAUGUUUUCAUUGAUCAAGAACGAAAGUAUGGGGAUCGAAGAUGAUCAGAU
rnacentral:rRNA from 1 species